rnacentral:lncRNA from 1 species
UGAGCGCGGCUACGUCGUAGGCGCGCGCCGCCAAGUCCUGGUCCGGGAACGUGCCGAGCCAGACGCGAGCGUGGCGCUCGUAGAUCUGGGAACCCCACCGCCCGUUGGGCUGAGGCACCACGCCCUUGAACCGCGACGGCGCCGACUGCGCCGAGGUCACGGACUCGUCGGCGAUGGCGACUGGUAGGCUCAGAGCCGUCAGUGCUCUUCCCGUGGUGCCUGACUCCGUCGUGGCCGUGGACGCGCCGGAAGAGUACUGGGAGGAGUCCUCCACCAUGGAGCUCAGGAUUUCCACCCCCAUGGCUGGUUUGUUUUCUGUGGUUUCUUGCAAUGAUACUAGCUGAGCUAAGCUAGGUACAUAUGGAAAUAAUGUUGUGUGUGUAUGUGUGUUUACCGGUUCAGAUGAGUUGCUGUUCUAGCUACGGCUGGAAACAAGAUGGUGGUUGCUGUGGGUUGUGUACACAUGUGUUGGUGGUGUAUAUAUAGAUAUUGUGCUAGAGAGAUGGGUUUUCGUGCUCGAGCUCCGUGGAGUUUUUUUUUUCAAAAAAAAACUAAUUUGGAAGUUUCACAAAAAUCUGAUUUUUUACAUUAUUGUAUUACGGAUGUAUACUGUAUGUGUCUAAAUUUCCAUGAGAAACAUGUCUAAAUUUGAAAACAGUUAACAUGGUGUGUACUGUUCACCAUUAAAUUGGUGUAGUUUGCAUGUCAAUGUAUUUUCUCACGAAAAUUUGCACAUAUGUAGUAUACAUCCAUAUGUCGACGUGGAAUUGUUAUCAGAAUUUUUUGAAACCUUGAAAUGUGAUUUUGAAUGUUUCAAAAAACGGGUUCCAUGGAGCUCGAGCACUAAAAUGCUGCACUCUAUUGUGGUGUUUCUAUUUUGGAUGCAUCUACUUGUGUACAUGUAUGCAUGGAAGGGGAAUAAUAUGGUGGGGCGUAUUUUUGUUUGUGCUUAAUUUGAAGCGAUGGUGGAGAUUUUCAUGUUUGCACCCCCCGAAAACUCCAUAUUAUAUGUGGUUUUCUAGCGUGUAGCAAGUGGGAACUAGGUAUUAUUCUAUUUUAGCAACUUGGAUGUUGAUGUAUUGGUUCAGGGUAAAAUGUACUUGAUGCAUGUAGUACAACAUGCUGGCCAUCCAUAACCCACAUGAAUGAGUAAAAUUAUCUUGGUGUAAAAAAGAAGUAAAAUUGACCAGAAGAUAUGGAUGAACAGCAUACUUUUGGUGCAUACUAGUUUGUUUAAAUUCUCAUGCAUAAUGCNNNNNNNNNNNNNNNNNNNNNNNNNNNNNNNNNNNNNNNNNNNNNNNNNNNNNNNNNNNNNNNNNNNNNNNNNNNNNNNNNNNNNNNNNNNNNNNNNNNNAAUAAAUUCCAAAAAUGGGUGCAAUUGAAGAUGACAAUUACUAAUCUAUGCAUACGACUGAAUUAAUGAAAUAGAUUGUAACAAUCCAAGGCCAGCAAGCAAUUCAGCGCCUAAUUUUUUUUCCUGCAUGCAUGUUGCAAAAUACUGGUUUAGUAGACAUUUUUAACUGCUUCCUUAUAUAGUGGCUGAGCGGAUAUCAAUUAGUGUAGCAAAAUGAAUAUUGCCAAUAUAUUAAGCAGUGAACAAAUUUUCAUUGAAACAUACACAAACACAUCUCUUGAUGAGAAGGCAGAAUGGAACUUUUUGAUGCGCCAAAAUGAUAGUACAUACAUAGAUGUGCAACCAACAUCGUCGGGUCAUUGUGACCUCUCUAGCUAGAAUUCCUAGUUGUGCACACACACAUAAUUACAUAUUAAUACAACUCAAUUUGCAAUCCGGCUUGCAAUAGAGUUCUACAGAGAAUUUAUCUAAUCCACGAACAGGAUCAGCAUAUAUCAUUUAACAACAAGAAGAAAAGGGAGGAAAAGUAUAAAUAUAUAGAGCUGUAUGUGCAGAUGCUAUAAGACGAAAGCACCUAGGGCAGGAGAGCGCUGACCGUGUGGAAGUGGAACGCAUUGCCUCUUGAGCAACUCCGGCGGGCCUUGCUCCGCCGUCGCCGCUCGCCCCCUCUUCACUCCGGCGAUGUCGACACCGAACAGCCUAACGACGCGGACUUGUUCUCCUUUGGCAGUCUCCACCACUGGCAGCGGCGACGCCGAUUUGCCGCUGUUGACGGUCGUAUUCUUCUUGCAGUCGAUGAAGAGCUGCUUCUCCUGGCCGUACGCCGAGCACGAGAAGAUGAUGGAGUCGCCGGCAGCGAGGCCCUUCUCCCGGACGAAGCGACUCCAGCCCUUUGUGAGCACGUAGCUCUGGCUGCUGUUCCAAUACGAGUACCGGAACCUCCACACCUUCCCCUCACCGUCCUCAAAGUUGAGCAGCACGCCGUUGCCGGUGGUGGUCGUCCUCUCCGGGGUGCGCUUCAGAGGGAAGUGCUUCUCGGCGUGUUGCUUCGGCACCACGAGGCGAUUGAGCUUGCCGACAUCGCUUGGGGUCACGGCCUUCUCGAAGAGGGGCUCCCGCGCCCACGAUGGCGUCGGCUGCGCGCGCGCCCCCAUGCCGCGGCCGCGUCGCAGACCCUGGCGGAGCUCGUCGGCGUAGGUGUGCUUCCGGAGCAUGUCGACGAUCUCGGCCUUGGAGUGCGCCCCCAGGAAGGCGAGCUCCGCCUCCGCGGCCGCGCACGGGAAGUUGGUGGCGGCAUCGCGGCCGCGGUACCUGAGCGCGGCUACGUCGUAGGCGCGUGCCGCCAAGUCCUGGUCCGGGAACGUGCCGAGCCAGACGCGAGCGUGGCGCUCGUAGAUCUGGGAACCCCACCGCCCGUUGGGCUGAGGCACCACGCCCUUGAACCGCGACGGCGCCGACUGCGCCGAGGUCACGGACUCGUCGGCGAUGGCGACUGGUAGGCUCAGAGCCGUCGGUGCUCUUCCCGUGGUGCCUGACUCCGUCGUGGCCGUGGACGCGCCGG